rnacentral:sRNA from 1 species
CCUGAAAUUCAAACUCAUGUGAUGUGAACGAUGU